AACGAACGCUGGCGGCAUGCCUAACACAUGCAAGUCGAACGAUGCUUUCGUGCAUAGUGGCGCACGGGUGUGGAACGCGUGGGAAUCUGCCCUUGGGUUCGGAAUAACAGUGAGAAAUUGCUGCUAAUACAGGAUGAUGUCUUCUGACCAAAGAUUUAUCGCCCAGGGAUGAGCCCGAGUAGGAUUAGCUAGUUGGUAGGGUAAUGGCCUAUCAAGGCGAGGAUCCUUAGCUGGUCUGAGAGGAUGAUCAGCCACACUGGGGCUGAGACGCGGUCCGGACUCUUACGCAAGGGAGGAGAGGGUAAUAUAGCACAAUGGGCGCAGGCAUGAACGAGCAAUGCCGGGAAAGUGCUGAAGUCGUUAAGGUAGUAAAGCUGUUUUACACGGGACGAUAAUGACGGUACCGGGAGAAUAAGCUCCGGCUAACUCCGUG
rnacentral:rRNA from 1 species